CGUGAGCAGGAGCAGGUGCACAUCCUCAGGGCUGCCCUGAGUGAGUGAUCUCCAGGUAAAAAAUAGGAGCUUUAGUCAGCACUCUUCAACUGUCAAUCAAAGAUCCCACCUCAAAGCAUCUUGAUGAAAAAAACAAAAACAAAAAAUGAUAAAAUGGGGUGGUCAUUAGGUUUGGCCACUGCAAAGUUCAGGCCCAGGGCUGAUUCAGGACAUACCCAUGGGGUGGAAAUGCACUCGCACCCCUGACCCCUCCUUGAGCUUGCCUGGGAGUGACCCCAACAGACCCUGCCCUGGCUGGCACCUCCCAAGCCCUGCUAAAAUUAGCCACAGUUGCAGGUGGGUCAGAGUACAGAGGGUUCCUUGCAGAGAUGUGGGGCUCAUCCGCCAAUGGCCGUUGUGGUCCCCCCUGAGACGAUUGAUCCUUUUCCCAAAAUAAAGCAAAGAUGGCCUCACCAGACCUCAUGUGACAGGUCUAUGACCCCCAGCUCCUGUUUGCUAUGGGGGCAGGGCUCAUGUCAGAGUUUGGAGCUGGCCAGGCCAGGGAGCAGCUGCCCCGGAGUCUUGCUGUUCACCUGGGCCGUGCAACCGCAUAGUAAGGCGGAUCCAGCUCUUCUUGCUCCGUUCCUUGGGUGGCGAGAGUGUGCCCAAGAACUUGGAAACAGUACUGCAAAUUCAGUCAAGGAUAUUCAAGAUUAUUCCUUCUGCUAUCAAAAAAUAGCACAGAUCCCACACAUCAAAAUACUGCAUAGGGAAUUGAUGAAAUAAAUGACGCAGCAUGCAGUCAAUGAAAAUGGUGAGAAAAAAAGAAAAGAAAAAGAAAAUGGUGAGAUUGAUUAAUGGUUGUUUAAAGAAACUCUUUAUUUAUUUUUUUGGUAUCGGGGAUCAAACUUAGGACCUUGCGCUUACAAGGCAGGCGGCGGCACCAUUGAGCUAAAUCCCCAGCCCGAAACUGUUUAUUUUUUAACUUUUGAUUUUUUUGGAGACAGGGUCUUGCUAUGUAUUUUAGACUGGCCUUUAACUCGUUAUAUAGCCCAGGCUGGCCUCGAACUCAUGAUCCUGCCUCAGCCUCUGGAGUGCUGGGAUUAUAGGCGUGUGCUACCAUGCCUGGUUUAAAGGAACCGUUUAGAAGAACCUGGUAGAAGUGACGGAGGGGGACUGGAGCCUGGGUCGUGAAGGAUAUGUGGCUCCUGUCUUUCUUUGGAUUGUUCACUGUGGGGGAGGCUGCUAUCAUGCCACGUGGAUGGACACUCAAGCCCUUGGGAAGAUCUAACCCAGGAGGAAGCUCCUGUCCUCAGGCUGCACCCAGAAAUCACAGCUUCUGGCAGCUCGGCCUGGCCAGGCCCUUGAGGGCAACCUGAGUUGCUUCUGAGUUUCUGCCCUGCAGACAUGUGAGACAGUAAAGGUUCAUUGUUUAAAGUCAC
rnacentral:lncRNA from 1 species